GGGCCCGCACAAGCGGUGGAGCAUGUGGUUUAAUUCGAUGCAACGCGAAGAACCUUACCUGGCCUUGACAUGUAGUGGCCCGGGUGCGAAAUCACCCUUUUCUUCGGAACUGCUACACAGGUGCUGCAUGGCUGUCGUCAGCUCGUGUCGUGAGAUGUUGGGUUAAGUCCCGCAACGAGCGCAACCCCCGUGUUCUGUUGCCACCCGGAUGAGAAUCCGGAGCACUCUGGACAGACUGCCUGGUUUCAACCAGGAGGAAGGUGGGGAUGACGUCAAGUCAGUAUGGCCCUUACGGCCAGGGCUGCACACGUACUACAAUGCCCGGUACAAUGGGAAGCGAGACCGCGAGGUGGAGCAAAUCCUAAAAACGGGCCCAGUUCAGAUUGUAGGCUGCAACUCGCCUACAUGAAGGAGGAAUCGCUAGUAA
rnacentral:rRNA from 1 species